rnacentral:rRNA from 1 species
UACGUAGGGGGCGAGCGUUGUCCGAAGUUACUGGGCGUAAAGAGCGCGUAGGCGGGUCUUUAAGGGAGGGGUGAAAGGUUCAGGGCUCAACCCGGACACUGCCUUUCAUACUGGGGACCUUGAGUGCGGGAGGGGCGAGUGGAAUGGUCGGUGUAGCGGUGAAAUGCGUAGAUAUCGAUCGGAACACCCAUGGCGAAGGCAGCUCGCUGGCCUGCAACUGACGCUGAGGCGCGAAAGCGUGGGGAGCAAACAGG